AGUAGGGAAUAUUAGAAAUGGACGAAAGUCUGAUCUAGCAACACCGCGUGUGCGAAGAAGGCCUUCGGGUCGUAAAGCACUUUUUGGAAGGAAUAGGAAGGAAUGUACUUCCAGAAUAAGUCUCGGCUAACUACGUGCCAGCAGCCGCGGUAACACGUAGGAGGCAAACGUUAUCCGGAUUUACUGGGCGUAAAGCGCGUGUAGGUGGUACUGUAAGUAGGGCGUGAAAGCUCCUGGCUCAACUGGGAGAGGCCGUUCUAAACUACAGAACUAGAGGAUGGUAGAGGGAGGUGGAAUUCCAGGUGUAGCGGUGGAAUGCGCAGAUAUCUGGAGGAACACCGGUGGCGAAGGCGGCCUCCUGGACCAUUCCUGACACUCAGACGCGAAAGCUAGGGUAGCAAACGGGAUUAGAGACCCCGGUAGUCCUAGCCCUAAACGAUGUAGACUAGGCGUCGGAAGCUUAAUCGCUUUCGGUGUCCAAGCUAACGCGAUAAGUCUACCGCCUGGGGACUACGGCCGCAAGGUUAAAACUCAAAGGAAUUGACGGGUCCCCGCACAAGCAGCGGAGCGUGUGGUUUAAUUCGUUGCUACACGAAGAACCUUACCUGGGUUUGACAUAGCAGUGGUAGGGAAGCGAAAGCGGACCGACCCUUCGGGGAGCUGUUACAGGUGUUGCAUGGCUGUCGUCAGCUCGUGUCGUGAGAUGUUCGGUUAAGUCCGCUAACGAGCGCAACCCGCGUUGUGUGUUACAAGUGUCACACAAUACCGCCGGUAUUAAGUCGGAGGAAGGUGCGGAUGACGUCAAGUCAGCAUGACCUUUAUAUCCAGGGCUACACACACGCUACAAUGGUCAGCACAAUAGGUUGCCAAGUCGUGAGACGGAGCCAAUCCUCCAAAGCUGGCCUCAGUUCAGAUUGCAGGCUGCAACUCGCCUGCAUGAAGUUGGAGUUGCUAGUAACCGCAGGUCAGCUAUACUGCGGUGAAUACGUUCCCGGGGAUUGUACACACCGCCCGUCAAGUCAUGGGAGCUGGCAACACCUGAAGCCGGUAUCCUAACCCGCAAGGGAGGGAGCUGUCAAAGGUGGGGUCGGUGACUGGGACU
rnacentral:rRNA from 1 species